rnacentral:rRNA from 1 species
CAAUAGCGUAUAUUAAAGUUGUUGCAGUUAAAAAGCUCGUAGUUGGACUUCUGGUUUUGGCGCGACCAGGCCGCUCCUUCGGGAUGUGGUACUGGAGCGCGCCUACCAUCCCUUCCAAGCUGUCCUUGCCCCGCCCUUGUGGUGUGGUUUGCAAGGUACACUUGGAUCUUUUACUUUGAAAAAAUUAGAGUGUUCAAAGCAGGCGUAUCGCUAUGAAUACAUUAGCAUGGAAUAAUGAUAUAGGACUCUGUUCUUAUUUCGUUGGUUUCUAAGGAUAGAGUAAUGAUUGAUAGGGAUAGUUGGGGGUGCUAGUACUCAUCGGCCAGAGGUGAAAUUCUUGGAUUCGAUGAAGACUAACUUAUGCGAAAGCAUUCACCAAGGAUGUCUNCUUUAA